GACGUAGGGAGCGAGCGUUGUCCGGAUUCCUUGGGCGUAAAGCGCGCGUAGGCGGCCUCGCAAGUCGGUUGUGAAAUCCCGGGGCUCGACCCCGGGACUGCGUCCGAUACUGCGAGGCUGGAGGUAGGUAGGGGAGAUCGGAAUUCCUGGUGUAGCGGUGAAAUGCGCAGAUAUCAGGAGGAACACCGGUGGCGAAGGCGGAUCUCUGGGCCUUACCUGACGCUGAGGCGCGAAAGCUAGGGGAGCGAACAGG
rnacentral:rRNA from 1 species